UCUGGCAGGGUCGGACCAUGAAGCUUGGGUGUUACAAGCGCCUCUAACCGCACAGGGGACUAGCGCUGCCGCCGCUCUGUUAAGAUGAUUGAGGAGCCUGACCGGGAGAUACGUCACUCGGUCGAGUUGCUGCGGCGACUGCGUGCACGACUGGUGCUAGGCUGGCGCGUGACUGGCAAGUGGCUGUCACGUGUCUGAAACGUGGCUGGCAAGUGGCUGGCAAGUGAUUGACACGUUUCUGGCACGUGACCGGUAUGUGGCUGAUACGCGAUUCACAAGUGACUAGCAAGUGCCUGGCACUGGCUGACUGACAUGUCGCUGGGACGUGGCUAAUGCAACUAAAGCGAAUGUGACGUUAUUGUUUCUGGAUGGCAGAGGUUAGACUCUCAAGAACGUAGGAAAAUGUCAAGAUAUCAGUGUUAGUUAAAUGUUUUUUUUUAUUGAUUGAUUCUAGUCUACGGUUUAUUUGUGCGACAAUAAAUACAUUUACCUAACAGCGCAUGUCAAAAUUGAUCGCUCAUAUAAUUAACACAUGUUUUCAUUAAUAGUGUUGUAGUUAUAUUUCAGAAAUAAAUAAUAUCUGUUAAUGCUA